rnacentral:rRNA from 1 species
CCCAGACUCCUACGGGAGGCAGCAGUGGGGAAUAUUGCACAAUGGGGGAAACCCUGAUGCAGCGACGCCGCGUGAGCGAUGAAGUAUUUCGGUAUGUAAAGCUCUAUCAGCAGGGAAGAAAAUGACGGUACCUGACUAAGAAGCCCCGGCUAACUACGUGCCAGCAGCCGCGGUAAUACGUAGGGGGCAAGCGUUAUCCGGAUUUACUGGGUGUAAAGGGAGCGUAGACGGCGAUGCAAGCCAGAUGUGAAAGCCCGGGGCUCAACCCCGGGACUGCUCUGGAAACUGUACGGCUGGAGUGCAGGAGAGGUAAGUGGAAUUCCUAGUGUAGCGGUGAAAUGCGUAGAUAUUAGGAGGAACACCAGUGGCGAAGGCGGCUUACUGGACUGUAACUGACGUUGAGGCUCGAAAGCGUGGGGAGCAAACAGGAUUAGAUACCCUAGUAUC